UCCCGCGUAAUUUAAGCAUAUUAAUAGGCGGAGGAAAAGAAACUAACUAGGAUUCCCUGAGUAGCUGCGAGCGAAACGGGAUGAGCCCAGCACUGAAUCCUGCGCUUUGUCAAAGCGUUUGGAAAUGUAGUGUGUGGGAGGAUCCGAUCAUCUCGAGAGAGCACGCCAGUCCAAGUCCAUCUUGAAAGCGGCCACAGCCCGUAGAGGGUGCCAGGCCCGUAGGACGGUGGGUGUUCGAUCGAAAGGAUCUCUCCCUAGAGUCGGGUUGCUUGAGAGUGCAGCUCUAAGUGGGUGGUAAACUCCAUCUAAGGCUAAAUAUGACCACAAGACCGAUAGCGAACAAGUACCGUGAGGGAAAGUUGAAAAGAACUUUGAAGAGAGAGUUCAAGAGUACGUGAAACCGUUCGGGGGUAAACGGACGAAAUCUGGAAAAUCGAAGGGAGAGAUUCACGCUCGUGUCGUGCGUGUCGUUCGGACGUUGCGUGCGAAGGCGCGGACGUGCCCGCGCUCGUAGCAAUGCGAGCCGGUGUCGCGUUCCGCGUCCCGCCCAGUCGUUCGGGGGCCGCGCGUCGGGCUGCACUUCUCUCCUUGUAGUACGUCGCGACCCGUUGGAUUCGCUCUCGUCCGCGGCCCGUGCGUGGAGCCGAUCGGUGCGCGUGUCGCGUGCGCGGUGCUUCGGCACCGUGCAUCUGCGGCCACCCCGGUCGACCGCUGCGGUGUCCUGGCGAGCGUUCGACGGUAUCCGAACGAUUCGAAAAGAACGUCGACCUCGUGUCGACGCGGCCUCCUCGUCGAGGCACGUGUUGUGUCCGCGGCGCUCUAUCCGGAGCAUCUUCCGACCCGUCUUGAAACACGGACCAAGGAGUCUAACAUGUGCGCGAGUCAUUGGGACCGUACUAAACCUAAAGGCGUAGCGAAAGUGAACGUCGUGCGUAAAACACACGGCCGGAGGGGAGAUGCCCGUCGCCCUAGCGGCGCAUGGGCCGCAUCCCCGGGGCGUCUCGUUGUCAUUGCGACACAGUAGGCGCACCCAGAGCGUACACGUUGGGACCCGAAAGAUGGUGAACUAUGCCUGGCCAGGUCGAAGUCAGGGGAAACCCUGAUGGAGGACCGAAGCGAUUCUGACGUGCAAAUCGAUCGUCAGAGCUGGGUAUAGGGGCGAAAGACUAAUCGAACCAUCUAGUAGCUGGUUCCCUCCGAAGUUUCCCUCAGGAUAGCUGGCACUCGGAGCGCAACGAAGGGCCGCGGCGUGCGACUUGUCGCACGCCCGCGCCCGUCAACCAGUCUCAUCUGGUAAAGCGAAUGAUUAGAGGCCUUGGGGCCGAAACGACCUCAACCUAUUCUCAAACUUUAAAUGGGUGAGACCGUCGACUUGCUUGAUUCACACGUGAAGUCGAUACAAGUGCGGAUGAACGAGUGCCAAGUGGGCCAAUUUUGGUAAGCAGAACUGGUGCUGUGGGAUGAACCAAACGUCGAGUUAAGGCGCCUAAAUCGGAGCUCAUGGGAUACCAUGAAAGGCGUUGGUUGCUUAAGACAGCAGGACGGUGGCCAUGGAAGUCGGAAUCCGCUAAGGAGUGUGUAACAACUCACCUGCCGAAGCAACUAGCCCUGAAAAUGGAUGGCGCUCAAGCUCCGUGCCUAUACUCGACCGUCACCGGCAGACGAGCCGCGCGCGCGCGAGCAAUCGCAGAGCGCCAGCCAAGAAGUCGUGACGAGUAGGAGGGUCGCGACGGUGUGCGCAGAAGUGUCGGUCGCGAGGCCGCAUGGAGCCGCCGUCGGUGCAGAUCUUGGUGGUAGUAGCAAAUACACUAGAGGGGCCCUGGUGGGCUGACGUGGAGAAGGGUUUCGUGUGAACAGCCGUUGCACACGAGUCAGUCGAUCCUAAGCCCAUGGCGAAAGCCGAUCGCACGCGCGUCGAAAAAACACUGGCGUAUAUCGAUAGCGUUUGACGCGCGUCGGGCGAAAGGGAAUCCGGUUCCCAUUCCGGAACCCGGUGGCGGAACCGUUCGCGAGGCCGCGCGGCAGCAAUGUCGCACUCGCACGGGGCGACCCAAACAGACCCGGAGACGCCGUCGGGCGAUCGAGGCAGAGUUUUCUGUUCUGCAUGAGCGUUCGAGUUCCCUGGAAUCGCCUAGCGCGGAGAUAGGGUUUGGAACGCGAAGAGCACCGCACUUGCGGCGGUGUCUCGAUCUGCCCCUCGGACCUUGAAAAUCCGGGAGAGGGUCACGUGGAGGUGUCGCACCGGUUCGUACCCAUAUCCGCAGGAGGUCUCCAAGGUGAGGAGCCUCUGGCCGGUAGAUUAAUGUAGGUAAGGGAAGUCA
rnacentral:rRNA from 1 species